rnacentral:rRNA from 1 species
UGCCAAGUCGAACGGCAGCACGACCUUCGGGUUGGUGGCGAGUGGCGCACGGGUGCGUAACGCGUAUAGAACUUACCCUUUACAGGGGGAUAGCCCGGAGAAAUCCGGAUUAAUACCCCGUAGUACUGAGAGGAGGCAUCUUUUUUCAGUUAAAGCUUCGGUGGUAAAGGAUGGCUAUGCGUCCUAUUAGCUAGUAGGUGAGGUAACGGCUCACCUAGGCUACGAUAGGUAGGGGCCCUGAGAGGGGGAUCCCCCACACUGGUACUGAGACACGGACCAGACUCCUACGGGAGGCAGCAGUGAGGAAUAUUGGACAAUGGUCGAAAGACUGAUCCAGCCAUGCCGCGUGCAGGAAGACGGCCCUAUGGGUUGUAAACUGCUUUUGUACGGGAAGAAUAAUGCCCACGUGUGGGCAGAUGACGGUACCGUACGAAUAAGGACCGGCUAACUCCGUGCCAGCAGCCGCGGUAAUACGGAGGGUCCGAGCGUUAUCCGGAAUCAUUGGGUUUAAAGGGUCCGCAGGCGGGCCAGUAAGUCAGGGGUGAAAGUUUGCGGCUCAACCGUAAAAUUGCCUUUGAUACUGCUGGUCUUGAGUUGCGGUGAAGUGGCCGGAAUAUGUGGUGUAGCGGUGAAAUGCAUAGAUAUCAC